UUCCGUAGGGGAUCCUGCGGAGGGAUCAUUACGGAGUUUACAACUCCCAAACCCCUGUGAACAUACCACUUGUUGCCUCGGCGGAUCAGCCCGCUCCCGGUAAAACGGGACGGCCCGCCAGAGGACCCCUAAACUCUGUUUCUAUAUGUAACUUCUGAGUAAAACCAUAAAUAAAUCAAAACUUUCAACAACGGAUCUCUUGGUUCUGGCAUCGAUGAAGAACGCAGCAAAAUGCGAUAAGUAAUGUGAAUUGCAGAAUUCAGUGAAUCAUCGAAUCUUUGAACGCACAUUGCGCCCGCCAGUAUUCUGGCGGGCAUGCCUGUUCGAGCGUCAUUUCAACCCUCAAGCACAGCUUGGUGUUGGGACUCGCGUUAAUUCGCGUUCCUCAAAUUGAUUGGCGGUCACGUCGAGCUUCCAUAGCGUAGUAGUAAAACCCUCGUUACUGGUAAUCGUCGCGGCCACGCCGUUAAACCCCAACUUCUGAAUGUGACCUCGGAUCAGGUAGAUGCCAGGUUU
rnacentral:rRNA from 1 species